UCCACAUGGCUGUGCCCCACUCCUCCAGUGACCCUCGCUCUCUCUUCCUUCAGGGAACUCCAGGAUCUAACUCUCAUUAAGCUCAACAAAGCAAAUGCCUAGAGAUGAGUCUGAGAGCAACAGCAAACUCCACAGAGACUUUUAUCUGGAUGGAAGAGACAGGAAGAAAGAACUUGGAUCUGAAAUGCUGAUUGACAACAGUGAUUAUGGGAGCUCUGGGAUCUCACUGCACGAAAGGUCCAAACAACAGCGCUGCCGCUUCGCUCACUUUGCUCUGAGCGAAUGUUCUCCGGCAGAGAACAGAUUUUACCAUCCACUUAAGUGACUGAAGCCUGAGGUUUACGUGGGAAGGAAGGGAAAGAAGACUGACUUGAUCCGAGACAACGACUCGUUUAAGGAUAUGGAGUCUGCCCAGUUGCACCUUUAUAGAGGAAAGUUCCACACUUUUCUGUUAUUGUUAUAUAAGUAAUUUUACAGUGCAACAUUUUUCCCUAAUACGAAACUGUCCUCAGCACUCAUGCAAAGUAUGUCUGUGAAAAAUUGUUUAUAAGUGUCUAAGUUACCCUAAACAGGGGUGUUACUCUUAUCACCAAUUGUAAAAUGGUUCUAAAGUCCCAUAGUGGUGGGUUCUAUAGAGAUACAUCUUUAGAGGAUGCUUUUAACCAAAAUGAACAUUUUUAAUAAAUAAGUCAGAAAAAUAAGAGAGAGCAAAGACACGGAAAAGCAGUGCAUCUUAGAUCUCCCUGUUCUUUAUGGUGCAAUGUACUUUCCACUUGACUUUUUAACUUCUGUAGCAAAUAUUCAGAUAAAGCUGAAUAAUAAACAUGUAGAUUGAUGCCUGGAAAUUUUCCCUUUUAAUUAAGUUUAUUAGACAGUAAUUUCCAAAAGGAAAUAUUACAGGGAACAGUCCAGCAUUGUCAGUGGGGAAAAUAAAGAUGGUGACCUGCUAGGCUUUUUACAGCCCUGAGUAGUUUUUUUUUUUUUUUUUUUU